CCUAGGGAGGCGGUGGAUGUCCUGAAUCGGGGGCUGGAGGCCGUGAUGGGUUGGAUGUGGGCUAAUAAACUGAAAUUGAAUCUGGAUAAGAUGGAGGUACUGUUGGUCAGUAGGAGAGCCAAUCGGGAUGAGGAGAUUUUACUGGUUCUGGAUGGGGUUGCACUCCCCUUGAAGGAGCAAGUACGCAGCUUGGGGGUACUACUGUACCCGGCUCUGCUUUUGGAAGCUCAGGUGGAGGCGGUAGCCAGGGGUGCCUUUGCACGGCUUCGGCUGGUGUGCCAGCUGCGUCCCUUUCUUGAGAAGGCAGAUCUGGCCACGGUGACCCAUGCCUUAGUCACGUUGCGGCUGGAUUACUGUAAUGCGCUCUACGUGGGGCUGCCCUUGAAGAAUAUCCAGAAACUGCAGCUAGUGCAAAAUGUGGCAGCGAGGGUUUUAUCCGGAGCUGCCCGUUGGGAACAUAUCACCCCCAUUUUGAAAGAGCUGCACUGGCUGCCGGUUUGUUUCCGGGUCCAAUUCAAGGUGCUGGUUUUUACCUUUAAAGCCCUAAAUGGUUUGGGCCCGGGGUAUUUGAGGGACGACCUGCUCCCAAGGGUUGCUGCUCGCUUGACUAGGACAUCUGAGGGGGCCCUGUUCCGGGUGCUGACAAUGAGGGAGGCCCGGCUGUCGUGCACUCGGGACAGGGCCUUCUCUGUUGCUGCUCCUAGACUCUGGAAUGCUCUCCUGGUGGUCAUUCGUUCCUCGGACUCCAUCAUAGCUUUUAGAAAGCUUUUAAAGACUUGGCUUUUUACCCAGGCUUUUACAUAAUCGUUUUUUACUGCUGUUCUUGUGUGUUUUUUAUCUGAUAACAAGAGUUUUUAUGUAUGUUUUUAGCUUGAUGUUUUAACUGCUUUUAUUGUAUGUUUUAAUUUUUGUAAACCGCCUUGGGGUUUUCUUUUAACGAAAGGCGGUAUAAAAAUGUAAAAAUAAAUAAAUAAAAUAAACACUGCUAUAGGAAGUUGCUACAUCACUAGUUUUGUGAUGUGCGGUGGAGGUCAACAAUUUAUAGCAAGCCUCUUGUGUAAGCCUAAGCAGCUAUCCUAUCCAAAGAGUCAGAGAGUUAAUAUUACUCUCAGUGACGAAAACAGGAGAGGACUUUUACCUAGCAGCAUUUUACAUUAGCAUAAAGCAAAGGUAGUGGAAAGAGAGAGAAAAAACUGACCAAUACCACUGCAGCAGCAGAAAACAAUCACUAAUCUAUUAAAAUUCUUUGAACAUCCUGCCAAACUGCUGGACAAAUCUGAAUGAUUUGUCUGUAAUCUGUCUGAACAGCUUUCACCAAGGCUGCCUACACUUUUUUUUUAAAAAAAGAGGAUUCUCACCCUCUUGAUAAUCAGGACAUCAAAGACUUGAAAGAAAUGAAUGUUUGGUAUGAUACUAACUACACAACGACUGUGCUGGUAUUGUUCAAGACAUAAAUUACAAUAGAAUUAUUUACUAAUUUUGAAAACAAGGGGAAAUAUGUGCUAAAUAUGUUGUGCCAAUAUUUGAUGACAUGAGACUGCUUGGACUGCUCAGACCUAGAGUAGAACCUUUAUGGGUUUCUAAGGAGGUGAUUCCAUUGCAGGAGAAGCUUAAGGCACAAAAUAGUAACACAUGUAGCUAACAGUGGAUGGAUUGUUUCCCUUGUGCACAUCUAAAUUAACUUCAGAAAGGUUUCUGGGCAUGCCAGAGUUCUCAUUCAGUCGAUAUAUACAGUAGACAUAACUAGAGGAAGGUUUUUGUUUUAACGUUUUACUUUCUGUUUUUAUUUUGUUGCAAACCACACGGAGACGUAGGUUUUGGGUGGUAUAAAAUAUGUUAAAUAAAUAAAUAAAUAAAAUAAAAUAAAAUAUCAAAUCACUGAUGACAAAUUAUCGGACAAUUUUUAUAGGCCUGUGGGAAGUGUAUCUCUUCCAAGUAGGGAUGAAUUGAUUAGACACUAGUCUGGCUGCUUCAAGUGGUUCGACCUCAAAUUGAAUCACCCUUGGGGGCACUGACCAGAUUUGACGUUGAAUCUAAUCACCCUAGAUUUGAGUUCAAAUUGAUUCGGUGAUUCGAGUCACUAUUAUAUCCCCACAAUGCCAGUUCUCCUAGUUUCUCUGCCACUCUGGUUGGUUCCUUUGUACUAUUCCACGACUGGCUGGAGUGGAUUCUCAGUUUGAAAUAACUUCUUCAUAGGGAAUACCUAUGAAAAAGUUAUUUCACAACCGAGAAUCCACAACACACAAAAAUUCCUAAAAAUCCACUUCUUUGCAUGAUUCCUUUGGGGACUGGGUGGUAUUUGGCACCCAUGGGACCCUGCCACCCACUUUGGUGCCCCCUAGCCCUUAAAAAGUAGGUCAAAUCUAUUCUAAUCGAAUUAAAUCGGUCCCAGAUUCAAGGCAUCAGAUUCAAGCCCAAAUAGAAUCACGCUGUUUUGAUUUGAACUCAAAUCUAAUUGCAAAAAUUGAUUUGUGCACAUUCCUACUUCCAAAUACUGGAGAACCUUCUUGAUGGUCUGGUACCGAAGAUGUUUCAGGAGUGAUCUGCCUUGGAUUGUAUUCUCUCUCUCUCUCUCUCUCUCUCAUAUAAUUGGGUUAUAUUAUGUACAAACAAAAUUGAUUUUAUCAGCCACCAUAUCAGUUCACCCCCUCACCAGCAUCUUUUAAAUAAAGGAUUGAUUCUUUCUUCAUAACCACUCGUGUACAUUUUUAUCACAUUUCAUCUAUUCUACUCAUGCACCAGCAACUUUUCAACAUUAGGUUAGAAAAUGAAAAUGAUCUUCCUGACUGUAGUAGAAUCCAGUCUGAUCUUGGUUUUGGAAACAUGAUAGUGUGAGACUGGGAGCCCAACAAACCAACAUAACAUGUGUUGUAAACAAUGGACUGGCAUCCUAAGCUGUGGCAAAGUGCCUGGAGUAAAUGCUUGAGGUCUGAAUAGCAGGCCAUUGUUACUACUCUCUUCCCGCUUUGAACUACUACUAUUACUACUACAGAUAUUUAUAUACUACUGUUCAACAAAAGUUCUCAAAGGAAUUUACACAGAAAAACACAAAUAAAUAAGAAGGUUCCCUGUCCAUAAAGGUCUCACAAUCUUAAAAAACAAAAUAAAAAUAAAAAUACUGGAGGGAUGCUGUGCUGGAGAUGGAUAGGCCCAGUUGCUCUCCCCUUUCUAAAUUAGAGAAUCUUCACUUUAAAAGGCAACUCUUUGCUCAAUUAGCAGGGGCAUUUUGAAACUUCAUAUCUGAUCAUUGUGCUACCUAAUAAUCAUGCAUUCAGAGAAAUGAUGCUUUGUUCAAAACAAAUCAUGAGCUACUACAAGCAUGUCUGUUUCCCCACCAAUACUUGGUAAAAUAUGGUCAUGUUACUAUUUAUGGUCAUGUUUCAACAGACAAAGGGCCACUAUGACAGCGUGCUACACUGCUCCAGAUUUUAUAAAAGUGGGAGUUGAGGUACAAUUGAUUAGAAACUCGUGUAACAUCAGAGAAGACAGCUUGGCUGUGCCAAGCAAAGUGAUAAUGUCUUUGCUCCUGGAUUCCUGAAACAUCAAGAAAGAAAACAUCAAGAAAGAUGGCAAGGCACGGAACUAGUACGUCUGGGAGGCUUCUCAGAGGUCGUACUGGUAGAAAAAAUGGUAGAUGCAGGUCAGGUGCUGAUAUGCCAAUAAAGAAGAGAAGAGGGUAUGUACGUGUCUGUAACACAUACUACUACUGGAAAGGAAGGAGACAUUCCAAGUAACUGCCUUCCGCAUAGUACUUAGGAAUUCCAUCUUUGGCACCAGUGAGUAACCACCAGGCAUCUGCCAUGAAAAGGGAAGUCAUCGAAUAAGUCACCAGUAACCUGAGGGAAGGCUGCAAAAUCCAGGAGCACUCCUAUUAUAGGAGCUUGACAUGUCUGUCUGUCAAUAAACUCAUGAAAACUCA